ACUCAGUCCGAUCAUCUCACUCCUAUAAAUAGAUCGUUGAGAGGAUGCCAUUCUGCACUCGUCCAGUCAUCCUCCAUUAGUUGGUAUUCACACUAACUAGUUGCUAUCCACAAUGAAGCAAGUUUCCCUUCGCGUCUUCUUUCUUGCCCUUCUCUUGCUGCUCUCUGUGGCUUUUGCACGUUCUGUGGUUGAAAAACAGGACGAAAAGAAUGCAAGAGGCGAUUAUGUUUGUGGACCCGUUUGCACCCCUAAAAGAUGCUGCCUCGUUGGUUACACCUGCUGCCCGAACGACUGGUGCUGUCUAUCAACAGAAAGAUGCUGCGGCUAUCAGCGUUGCUGCAGUCUUAAUGAGUAUGGUGCAUUCGUGAAUUCACACGGUGUCCCUAGCAUACUGAAAUCUUCUCAUCCCUGAUAUGUUAUCAUGUUGGUCAUGAUGAUAGUAGUAACUUGUGGUAUAUCUAAAUAAUAAAGCAAGCAUGUCUUAAUAAUAAAGCAAGCAUGCUUAUUGUCUGCUAGGACAUGCAGGGUCUGUACUUCCUACUUCAUGUUGCCCUACCGAUGUUGUGCUUAGUUACUUUAGUUGAAUUUAUUUUAUAUAUGUAAUACAAUCAAUAACGUUGCCUAUUUAAAUGCAUUCCAUGGGCAACAGCAAUUCAUCAUAUCAUUUGAUUACAGAGAUUUUACUUAUUUGUGGGCAUUCAAAAUUCAGAGGAAAAAGCAGGUUUUGAGAUUUUCCUCUCUUUUGCAAGAAA